AGACCUGCACCCGCCGGCCGAGGCCCUCCCCAGCUCCGUGCACCCCCCACCGCUGGUCCUGCCACGCUCCCCGCGGACGGGGCUGCGGCAGGAUCUCGCCCAGGCACGGCCGGCGGCCCCGCUGCCUGGUCCGUCGGUCACCGCUCCCUCCUUCGGGCUGUUCCCCGCUCACGCGACCCCUGCCCGCCACAGGAACCAGCUGUCCCUUCGAUGCGGGAACGGGGGGAGAAACGAAGCGGCAUCUGCAUCCUUACAUCCACAUCUGCACCCUGCACCCGCACUCCGCAGCCGCAGCCCGGACGCGCCUUGGCACCGGCCGGGACGGGGCGGCACCGGUGGCCCGGAGCUGCAGCAGGAGGGGAGAGUAGAGUAGGGUGGGGCGGGACGGGACGGGACGGGACGGGACGGGACGGGACCGGCCACCCCGCGCUCCCGACGCCGGGCAGCGCCGGAGGCACCGCGGGAGAAGGGGCGGGGGCUGCUCUGCGGGGCGGGGCCUGUCGCGGGGCUGGGACGAUAAAACCGAGGGUAAUUGCAUUUAGGCAAAUGAGGCUGCCUCGGCCCUCCCCGUCUCCAGGUAUAUAAAGUGGGGACCGCUCCCGCGGACGGCUAAUGCGCACGGAGAGCAGCGCCCGCCCUCCCCGGUACAGACGGACGUCGAGGUGGCGAUGAGACUCCCGCUGGCUUUCGCCGUGCUCCUCCUGGCCUCGGCGCGGGCUCUGGCAGAGGAGAUGGGCGCCUCCGACGACCUCAGCUACUGGUCCGACUGGUCCGACGGCGACCAGGCGAAGGAGGAGCUGCCGCUGCCCCUGGAGCACUUCCUGCAGAGGAUGGCCCGGAGACCCCGGCCCCAGCAGUUCUUCGGCCUCAUGGGCAAGCGGGAUGCUGGAUAUGGCCAGAUCUCUCAUAAAAGGCAUAAAACAGAUUCCUUUGUUGGACUUAUGGGCAAAAGAUCUUUAAAUUCUGGAUCCUCUGAAAGGAGCAUAGCACAGAAUUACGAACGGAGGCGUAAAUGAGACAUCCCUGUACAUUAUUUAUUAAACAUCAUUUGUUCUAAUGGCCAAUGCAGUGUAAUAUAAACUAACCACUGUACGGAAUAAUUAUUUAUUUAAUAAUAACUGAUGGGUUGGUUUUUGUUCUGUUUUUUUUCAGUUGUACAUUCAAUAAAAUGAUUAUUUUUCA
rnacentral:lncRNA from 1 species